GACGAACGCUGGCGGCGUGCCUAAUACAUGCAAGUCGAACGCAGUGGGGACGGGUGAGUAACCCGUGGGUAACCUCCAAUCAGAGGGGAUAACACUUGGAAACAGGUGCUAAACCGAUACUGAUGGAUGGACCCGCGGUGCAUUAGCUAGUUGUUGAGGUAACUGCCCACCAAGGCCACGAUGCAUAGCCGACUUGGGCAGGUGAUCGGCCACAAUGGGACCGGGAAACGGCCCAGACUCCUCCCGGGGUCAGCAGUAGGGGAUCUUCGGCAAUGGACGACAGUCUGACCGAGCCACGCCGCGUGAGUGAAGAAGGUUUUCGGAUUGUAAAGCUCCGUUGUUAAGGAAGCGGUACUUAACCAGAAAGGGACGGCUAACUACGUGCCAGCAGCCGCGGUAAUAC
rnacentral:rRNA from 1 species